GCGAGGGAGUGCGGCGCGAGCGCGCGCGGCGGCGGCAGUGUGUUCGGGACGCGCGUGGAGGUCGGUCGCUCAGAGGUGCUGGGCGCGUCGUGGCAGCGAGCGAGUUCCUGCGAGUACCCAGUGGUCUUCCUCUGCCCGUAGCCUCCCGCUCGGUCGCCCCGCUCCCCUUCCAGCGCCUUCCGCCUGCAGCCCGUCGAAGCUCUGGAGAUGAAUUUCGCCAUCUCUUCAGAGAUGACCCAGAUUAUGAUGCAUGAUUAUCACAGAAGAAAUUCAUGUCUAUAGCUUUUAAGGACUUGAUUACAUCAUUUUCAAGCCUGCUAGUUUUGGAACCACCAUUAAAGCCUAAGACAUCUACCUUCACUCGGCCACCUAUCUUCAUACCGUAACAAAGUGCUUUGUUUCAACACUCCUUUGUCUUUGGAUCAUUUGCAUUCUCAGUGACACAUUUCUCUUCAGGAAUAGUUGCCAAAUUUAUAAGGAAAAAAUGAUUCCCAAUGGAUAUUUGAUGUUUGAAGAUGAAAAUUUUAUUGAAUCUUCUGUUGCCAAAUUAAAUGCCUUGAGGAAAAGUGGGCAGUUCUGUGAUGUUCGACUUCAGGUCUGUGGCCAUGAGAUGCUAGCACACAGGGCAGUCCUGGCUUGCUGUAGCCCCUAUCUGUUUGAAAUCUUUAAUAGUGACAGUGACCCUCAUGGAGUUUCUCAUGUGAAGUUGGAUGAUCUCAACCCAGAAGCUGUUGAAGUCUUGCUGAAUUAUGCAUACACUGCUCAGUUGAAAGCUGAUAAGGAAUUAGUAAAAGAUGUUUAUUCUGCAGCAAAGAAGCUGAAGAUGGACCGAGUAAAGCAGGUCUGCGGAGAUUAUUUACUAUCUAGAAUGGAUGUUACUAGCUGCAUCUCUUACCGAAAUUUUGCAAGUUGUAUGGGAGACUCCCGUUUGUUGAAUAAAGUUGACACUUAUAUUCAGGAGCAUUUGUUACAAAUCUCAGAGGAAGAGGAAUUUCUUAAGCUUCCAAGACUAAAGUUGGAGGUAAUGCUUGAAGAUAAUGUUUGCUUGCCCAGCAAUGGCAAAUUGUACACAAAGGUAAUCAACUGGGUGCAGCGUAGCAUCUGGGAGAAUGGAGACAGCCUGGAAGAGCUUAUGGAAGAGGUUUAUUAACAAAACUAGGAUCCCCAAGACUGAAGAGCCGAGAAGAAACCUCGAGUGUAUUGACACGUAAAGAAGCAGCAGUCCUGCCCCAGUCUCCUAAGAAAAGUCCGCUGUGGGCAGAGAGCGAUGAUGAUUUAAUGGUGUUUACUCCUUUACAGGGUUCUUACCUCUAGAUUUUGUGUUUUCAAUGAUGUUGUUCUUACAUAUAGUCAGACUUGGGCUGUUUUUUAAAAAAUAUACAAGAAAAACAAAAUUUGAAAAACUUGGGACUGGUCCAUGUUGUGCUGGUUGGAGUAGUGGAGUAAUUGAGUGUAUCAUCCCGCAGAACCUCCACGCUCACAAAGCUAGCCUGCUCUGUUAGGCCUUAGUCACUGCCAUUACUGCAUUCCAUAAAGGCUAGCAGAUGUUCUUUCAAUUCUGUGACUUCCCUUAUGGGAAUCAGAUGCAGUAGUUAGUCAUGUAUUUGCAUCUGAACAGGAAGAUUGCAGCUUGCUUGAAUUUUUGCAUUUGUUUUUCCUUUAUGUGUUUUCUUGAUAUUACCUACAGGGGAGAAGUAUGUUUAUUCAAACAAUGCCAUUUAUCUUCAAAGGUGUAAACCAUUCAGUGUUUUGUUGUAAAUAUGUGUAUUUGAGAAACUAUGUGUUGUACUAUACCUUUUUUCUUAAUGUCACAUAAUAGAAGCUAUGGAAACAAUGAAGAUUUCUUUCAAGCCAAUCAAGCCAAGGACUCUUCAGCCAGUGUUAGAAGAUUUUGUAUUUGAUCUUGAUUUUUGUUUUGGUUUUUUUUUGUUUUGUUUUGUUUUCACUUUUUACAUUUUUACUACUAUGACAUGUUUUUCUUUGCAUCGGGAUCCUGCCAGAGUAAGAUGUCAAGACGCACACUGGAGGUUACCUUGAGGCGGUUGUGUAAUCUGCGGACUAGCAAGUAGCCAUGGUGACAGUAGCCACAUGGGUGUUCUGUUGCUGUUUUGCAGGUUCAAACCUUGUACUACUCAGCUGAUCACAAGCUGCUUGAUGGGAACCCACUAGAUGGACAGGCUGAGGUGUUUGGCAGUGAUGAUGACCACAUUCAGUUUGUGCAGAAAAAGCCACCCCGUGAGAAUGGCCAUAAGCAGAUAAGUGGCAGUUCCACUGGAUGUCUCUCUUCUCCACAUGCUUCAAUGCAAAGUCCUAAGCAUGAGUGGAAAAUCGUUGCUUCAGAAAAGACUUCAAAUAAUACUUACUUGUGCCUGGCUGUGCUGGAUGGUACAUUCUGUGUCAUUUUCCUUCAUGGGCGGAACAGUCCACAGAGCUCACCCACAAGUACUCCAAAACUGAGCAAGAGUUUAAGCUUUGAGAUGCAGCCAGAUGAGCUCCUAGAAAAGCCCAUGUCUCCCAUGCAGUAUGCACGGUCUGGACUAGGGACGGCAGAGAUGAAUGGCAAACUCAUAGCUGCAGGUGGUUAUAACAGAGAGGAAUGUCUGCGAACAGUUGAAUGCUAUGAUCCACAUACAGAUCAUUGGUCCUUCCUUGCUCCCAUGAGAACACCAAGAGCCCGCUUUCAAAUGGCUGUACUGAUGGGACAGCUCUAUGUGGUGGGUGGAUCAAAUGGACACUCAGAUGACCUGAGUUGUGGAGAAAUGUAUGAUCCGAGCAUUGAUGACUGGACCCCUGUUCCAGAGUUAAGAACUAACCGUUGUAAUGCAGGAGUGUGUGCUCUGAAUGGGAAGUUGUACAUUGUUGGUGGCUCAGAUCCAUAUGGUCAAAAAGGCCUGAAAAACUGUGAUGUAUUCGAUCCUGUAACAAAGUCAUGGACAAGCUGUGCUCCUCUUAACAUUCGUAGACACCAGUCUGCAGUUUGUGAACUUGGUGGUUAUUUAUAUAUAAUUGGAGGUGCAGAAUCUUGGAAUUGUCUGAACACAGUAGAACGAUACAAUCCUGAAAAUAACACCUGGACUUUGAUUGCACCCAUGAAUGUGGCUAGACGAGGAGCUGGAGUCGCUGUUCUUGAUGGAAAACUGUUUGUAGGUGGUGGCUUUGAUGGUUCUCACGCCAUCAGUUGUGUGGAGAUGUAUGAUCCAACUAGAAAUGAAUGGAAGAUGAUGGGAAAUAUGACUUCACCAAGGAGCAACGCUGGGAUCACAACUGUAGGGAGCACCAUUUACGCAGUGGGGGGAUUCGAUGGCAAUGAAUUUCUGAAUACUGUGGAAGUCUACAACCUUGAGUCAAAUGAGUGGAGCCCUUACACAAAGAUUUUCCAGUUUUAACAAAUUUAAGAACCCCAAACUAACAGGCUUAGUGAUGUAAUUGUGUUUAGUAGAGGUACCCUUGUGAAUAAGGAGGGUGGGUGGGGUAGAUGUUGCUAACAGCAACACAGAGCUUUUGCAUAUUGCAUAUUAUUAAACAUGCUGUACAUACUUUUUGUGUUUGGAACGGAAUGCAAAGAUGAAGGUCUGUUUGUGUAUUAAGACAUCUUUGGUUAUUUUACUUUUUGAAGGUUGAUACUGUAAAAGAAUAAACCACAAAUUGAUUGGGAACAUCAUUUCAAGAAGUCCCUGCUCCUCCAUAUUUGUUUUGCCGAUUUGCACAUUAAAUGACUCUUCCCUCACUUCUGUCUUAAGAGGCAAGAGGGUAGGGUUUACAAGUAGGCAGUUGGGUUUUUUAAGGGCCCCUUUUCAAUAACUGGAACACUCUAUUACAAAAUACUUAUUUAAAUAGAUAACAAUGACUAUUUUUGUUUUUAUUAAAAGAAAGUUGACAUGCCUACCAAUAUUUAGUCUUUUAUGAUUACAUUUUUAUAACUUUUUAUAUUCUCAGCAGAGUGCUUUAUCUGUUGAAGUAAAAUAUGACAGAUUCACGUUAUCAAAACAGAGUGGCAGAGGAAAGGAUGCAGAGUGGGGUGUUUCUUUUAAAUGCUCAGAACGCAGACUUUAGCAUUUGCCGCAGCUGUACUUUUUUCUUUUUUCUUUUCUAUUUGAGAGUGCAGUAUCGAUGUUUAUUUGGAUGGAGUUGCUGAAUAGUAACAGUAAUAAUUCAAACCCAGGUUUGAUGAAUUACUUGACUUACUGAAACAUUUAAACUGUCUUUAUUUAUCAUUAACCAAGCAAUUGUAAGUGGAAGCCUUUGAUUGAAAACAAUUAAACUGUAUUGGGUUUGUGAAUGCA